rnacentral:misc_RNA from 1 species
AAGUCGUAACAAGGUUUCCGUAGGUGAACCUGCGGAAGGAUCAUUACAGAGUUCAUGCCCUCACGGGUAGACCUCCCACCCUUGUGUAUUUAUACCAUGUUGCUUUGGCAGGCUGCUGCCCCCCUCGGGGGACAGCCCCAGCGCCUUCGGGCCUGGGAGUCGCCUGCCGGAGGAAAAACAAACUCUGAAUUGUUAGUGUCGUCUGAGUACUAUAUUUUAAUAGUUAAAA